UACGAAGGGGGCUAGCGUUGUUCGGAAUUACUGGGCGUAAAGCGCGCGUAGGCGGUGAUCUUUGUCAGAGGUGAAAUCCCGAGGCUCAACUUCGGAAUUGCCUUUAAAACUGCAUCGCUAGAAUUGUGGAGAGGUAAGUGGAAUUCCGAGUGUAGAGGUGAAAUUCGUAGAUAUUCGGAAGAACACCAGUGGCGAAGGCGACUUACUGGACACAUAUUGACGCUGAGGUGCGAAAGCGUGGGGAGCAAACAGG
rnacentral:rRNA from 1 species